CAUGUGGAGCAGGAUCUGCUUACCCUUCCGGAGCACCUGAGAUCACACCUAGUUUUUAGUGGGGUUCGUGUUGUUUAUUCUUUAGUUUUCUAUGUUGUGUCAUGUAUACUAUUGUUUUUCUGUUUGUCUUUUUCAUUUUUAGCCAUGGCGUUGUCAGUUUGUUUUAGAUUUAUGAGUUUGACUGUCCCUUUGGUAUCUUUCGUCC
rnacentral:lncRNA from 1 species